AACGCCGGCGGUGUGCCUAAUACAUGCAAGUCGAACGCGUUGGCCCAAUUGAUUGAUGGUGCUUGCACCUGAUUGAUUUUGGUCGCCAACGAGUGGCGGACGGGUGAGUAACACGUAGGUAACCUGCCCAGAAGCGGGGGACAACAUUUGGAAACAGAUGCUAAUACCGCAUAACAGCGUUGUUCGCAUGAACAACGCUUAAAAGAUGGCUUCUCGCUAUCACUUCUGGAUGGACCUGCGGUGCAUUAGCUUGUUGGUGGGGUAACGGCCUACCAAGGCGAUGAUGCAUAGCCGAGUUGAGAGACUGAUCGGCCACAAUGGGACUGAGACACGGCCCAUACUCCUACGGGAGGCAGCAGUAGGGAAUCUUCCACAAUGGGCGCAAGCCUGAUGGAGCAACACCGCGUGAGUGAAGAAGGGUUUCGGCUCGUAAAGCUCUGUUGUUAAAGAAGAACACGUAUGAGAGUAACUGUUCAUACGUUGACGGUAUUUAACCAGAAAGUCACGGCUAACUACGUGCCAGCAGCCGCGGUAAUACGUAGGUGGCAAGCGUUAUCCGGAUUUAUUGGGCGUAAAGAGAGUGCAGGCGGUUUUCUAAGUCUGAUGUGAAAGCCUUCGGCUUAACCGGAGAAGUGCAUCGGAAACUGGAUAACUUGAGUGCAGAAGAGGGUAGUGGAACUCCAUGUGUAGCGGUGGAAUGCGUAGAUAUAUGGAAGAACACCAGUGGCGAAGGCGGCUACCUGGUCUGCAACUGACGCUGAGACUCGAAAGCAUGGGUAGCGAACAGGAUUAGAUACCCUGGUAGUCCAUGCCGUAAACGAUGAGUGCUAGGUGUUGGAGGGUUUCCGCCCUUCAGUGCCGGAGCUAACGCAUUAAGCACUCCGCCUGGGGAGUACGACCGCAAGGUUGAAACUCAAAGGAAUUGACGGGGGCCCGCACAAGCGGUGGAGCAUGUGGUUUAAUUCGAAGCUACGCGAAGAACCUUACCAGGUCUUGACAUCUUGCGCCAACCCUAGAGAUAGGGCGUUUCCUUCGGGAACGCAAUGACAGGUGGUGCAUGGUCGUCGUCAGCUCGUGUCGUGAGAUGUUGGGUUAAGUCCCGCAACGAGCGCAACCCUUGUUACUAGUUGCCAGCAUUAAGUUGGGCACUCUAGUGAGACUGCCGGUGACAAACCGGAGGAAGGUGGGGACGACGUCAGAUCAUCAUGCCCCUUAUGACCUGGGCUACACACGUGCUACAAUGGACGGUACAACGAGUCGCGAACUCGCGAGGGCAAGCAAAUCUCUUAAAACCGUUCUCAGUUCGGACUGCAGGCUGCAACUCGCCUGCACGAAGUCGGAAUCGCUAGUAAUCGCGGAUCAGCAUGCCGCGGUGAAUACGUUCCCGGGCCUUGUACACACCGCCCGUCACACCAUGAGAGUUUGUAACACCCAAAGUCGGUGGGGUAACCUUUUAGGAGCCAGCCGCCUAAGGUGGGACAGAUGAUUAG
rnacentral:rRNA from 2 species